CCCUACGGGAGGCAGCAGUGGGGAAUAUUGGGCAAUGGGCGCAAGCCUGACCCAGCAACGCCGCGUGAAGGAAGAAGGCUUUCGGGUUGUAAACUUCUUUUCUCAGGGACGAAGAAAGUGACGGUACCUGAGGAAUAAGCCACGGCUAACUACGUGCCAGCAGCCGCGGUAAUACGUAGGUGGCAAGCGUUAUCCGGAUUUAUUGGGUGUAAAGGGCGUGUAGGCGGGAGCGCAAGUCAGAUGGGAAAACUCAGGGCUCAACCCUGAGCCUGUAUUUGGAACUGUGUUUCU
rnacentral:rRNA from 1 species